GCAGUGACUUGAAAGAA
rnacentral:miRNA from 1 species